rnacentral:rRNA from 1 species
GAUGAACGCUAGCGGGAGGCCUAACACAUGCAAGCCGAGCGGUAGAAAGUAGCUUGCUACUUUUGAGAGCGGCGUACGGGUGCGGAACACGUGUGCAACCUGCCUUUAUCUGGGGAAUAGCCUUUCGAAAGGAAGAUUAAUGCCCCAUAACAUAUUGAUUGGCAUCAAUUAAUAUUGAAAGCUCCGGCGGAUAGAGAUGGGCACGCGCAAGAUUAGCUAGUUGGUGAGGUAACGGCUCACCAAGGCGAUGAUCUUUAGGGGGCCUGAGAGGGUGAUCCCCCACACUGGUACUGAGACACGGACCAGACUCCUACGGGAGGCAGCAGUGAGGAAUAUUGGACAAUGGGUGCAAGCCUGAUCCAGCCAUCCCGCGUGAAGGAUGACGGCCCUAUGGGUUGUAAACUUCUUUUAUACAGGGAUAAACCUACUUACGUGUAAGUAGCUGAAGGUACUGUAUGAAUAAGCACCGGCUAACUCCGU